rnacentral:rRNA from 1 species
CGUACACUCCUGCGGGAGGCAGCAGUGGGGAAUAUUGCACAAUGGGCGCAAGCCUGAUGCAGCCAUGCCGCGUGUAUGAAGAAGGCCUUCGGGUUGUAAAGUACUUUCAGCGGGGAGGAAGGCGAUAAGGUUAAUAACCUUGUCGAUUGACGUUACCCGCAGAAGAAGCACCGGCUAACUCCGUGCCAGCAGCCGCGGUAAUACGGAGGGUGCAAGCGUUAAUCGGAAUUACUGGGCGUAAAGCGCACGCAGGCGGUCUGUCAAGUCGGAUGUGAAAUCCCCAGGCUCAACCUGGGAACUGCAUUCGAAACUGGCAGGCUAGAGUCUUGUAGAGGGGGGUAGAAUUCCAGGUGUAGCGGUGAAAUGCGUAGAGAUCUGGAGGAAUACCGGUGGCGAAGGCGGCCCCCUGGACAAAGACUGACGCUCAGGUGCGAAAGCGUGGGGAGCAAACAGGAUUAGAUACCCGUGUAGUCCCAUGA